rnacentral:rRNA from 1 species
UAGAGUUUGAUCAUGGCUCAGAUUGAACGCUGGCGGCAGGCCUAACACAUGCAAGUCGAGCGGUAGAGAGAAGCUUGCUUCUCUUGAGAGCGGCGGACGGGUGAGUAAUGCCUAGGAAUCUGCCUGGUAGUGGGGGAUAACGUUCGGAAACGGACGCUAAUACCGCAUACGUCCUACGGGAGAAAGCAGGGGACCUUCGGGCCUUGCGCUAUCAGAUGAGCCUAGGUCGGAUUAGCUAGUUGGUGGGGUAAUGGCUCACCAAGGCGACGAUCCGUAACUGGUCUGAGAGGAUGAUCAGUCACACUGGAACUGAGACACGGUCCAGACUCCUACGGGAGGCAGCAGUGGGGAAUAUUGGACAAUGGGCGAAAGCCUGAUCCAGCCAUGCCGCGUGUGUGAAGAAGGUCUUCGGAUUGUAAAGCACUUUAAGUUGGGAGGAAGGAUUGUAGGUUAAUACUCUGCAAUUUUGACGUUACCGACAGAAUAAGCACCGGCUAACUCUGUGCCAGCAGCCGCGGUAAUACAGAGGGUGCAAGCGUUAAUCGGAAUUACUGGGCGUAAAGCGCGCGUAGGUGGUUUGUUAAGUUGGAUGUGAAAUCCCCGGGCUCAACCUGGGAACUGCAUUCAAAACUGACUGACUAGAGUAUAGUAGAGGGUGGUGGAAUUUCCUGUGUAGCGGUGAAAUGCGUAGAUAUAGGAAGGAACACCAGUGGCGAAGGCGACCACCCUGGACUAAUACUG